GGACUUCUCGCCCUGCCUGCGAGUUGGGGGAGGCAGGUGAGGCAGCACUGUGAGACACCCCACCAGCAGAAGGUAGUGGGCACGCAGACACGGGGUCACACCAGCGCCCAGGAAAAUGAGCAGCAAGAAGGGGGUGCCCAAAGCUGCAUCAGUUCAGGGAAGUGGCAGCCAUCUCUCCCUGGAGCCGAGCUGAGAGCUGUUGCUGCACCUCAAGGCCCUCGCUCCGGAGUUGCUCCAGCGCCAUGGCCAGCUCCAGCCCCUCCACGCGCACCCAGGCCUGCUCCUCCUGUAGCUGCUGCAGCCACAGCUGCUCC